UACGAAGGGGGCUAGCGUUGCUCGGAAUCACUGGGCGUAAAGCGCACGUAGGCGGACUCUUAAGUCAGAGGUGAAAUCCUGGAGCUCAACUCCAGAACUGCCUUUGAUACUGGAAAUCUUGAGUAUGGGAGAGGUGAGUGGAACUGCGAGUGUAGAGGUGAAAUUCGUAGAUAUUCGCAAGAACACCAGUGGCGAAGGCGGCUCACUGGCCCAUAACUGACGCUGAGGCACGAAAGCGUGGGGAGCAAACAGG
rnacentral:rRNA from 1 species